GACGAACCGUGCGCACGUUGUUCGGAAUCACUGGGCUUAAAGGGCGCGUAGGCGGCGGGUCAAGUCCGGGGUGAAAGCCCCCAGCUCAACUGGGGAAGUGCCUUGGAUACUGAUUCGCUUGAGGGAGGUAGGGGCGGAUGGAACUUCCGGUGGAGCGGUGAAAUGCGUUGAUAUCGGAAGGAACGCCGGUGGCGAAAGCGAUCCGCUGGCCCUCUUCUGACGCUGAGGCGCGAAAGCCAGGGGAGCAAACGGG
rnacentral:rRNA from 1 species